ensembl:snoRNA
AAACAAUGAUGGCAGUAUUUUUUAUCGACAGCAUUUCACCUAGUGAGUGUUGAUACUUUGGGCCUGAGUGA